AUGCGUAUACACUAUGGAAUAUUAUUCAGCCAUAAAAAGAAGGAAAUAGCAAUUUGUGAUGACAUAGAUGAAGAUGAGCAAGCUGUUCAAACAGGUGUAGCGGCGUCCCCAGAAGAGGACAGAAAACACUUGCUUGGGGUCGGUCUUCUCCUGCGCAUUCACUCCAGGGAGCAAGACAAAGAGCCAGAAUUUUGCUGCUUACUAGAUCACAGUGGGAAUCACUGGGUUUGGUAAACGUGCAUGACUUCCCUUUCCCUCUGAUGGUGGAUGCAGAUUUUCGACAUUAUCCUGGGAACUCUGGGCUUUAUCCCUGUCUGGCUGAGAGGCAGAGGCCCUUUUCCUCCUGCUUUGUCUGAUCCUCUUCCUGCAGCUCUCCUGGGGCGCCCCCCUCAACAGCGACAUCAAAGUCGCCUAUGACUGGAAGCUGGUGGCCAGCCAUAUGGAAUUACAGCCCAGGCUCUCCCCGGAUUACAGAGUGUAGCAUAUGAACCAAAUGACAGUGCCAUGAUACAAAGGAAAGGCUGGUUUAGGGAUGGAAAAUAUGACCAUUUGUGUAUUUAUACACAGGCUCCUCAUAAACAACCUGAAUGUUUCACCAACAUCCCAAUGAAGCAAGGGAUGGGCUGAGUUAAAAACAGCUCCAGAAUGCUUCUCUUCUAAGUAAAUUACCCACACGGUUCCUAUCUCCUCUGGGUGUUAAAUGUUCUCCUGCAUAUUUCAGAAUUUAAGAAAUGCUUACCUACAAAUAGCGUAACUUAAGACAUAAAAGAAAGUGGCUCACCUAGCAGACUUCCUUUAUCUAAUGCGUUAUUAUUGCCACAAAGCCCAAUGACAUCUCACCCAUCCUGAAUCUGGCUAUUUAGCCAUUGAAUCUGCUUAGAUCUCUACUUCAUGGGUUCGCUUCUCCACCCCUCCAGACUGGCUUUCAUCUCCCACAGGCCACAGGACCUGUUUGAACUUUGCACCUUCCCAAGUGAUACCUUUUUGUCUGUACAUCCUGCAAUAACGUCAUGAUGGACCCAGUUGCCCAGGCUUGACCUCAGUGUUGCUCCUUGCUGCUUCCUCCCUCUGAGAUAGUCAUAUCUGGAUAGUUUCCAAGUCCUGAGGACUCUGCCUCCAAAAUAUCUUUUGUCUCAACUCCAUGCUUGCUGUUUACUGCCUUACUGUGGCUCUUGGUCUCUUUGCCAGAAUUAGCAAAGAUCUCCCAGCUGCUUUUCUUGCCUCUAAUCUUGUU
rnacentral:lncRNA from 1 species